rnacentral:rRNA from 1 species
AUGGCAUCUCCCCAGAUCGUGUUGGUCGCCAUGGUCUCCGUGAUGCUCCUCUCGGCACCUUAUGCCGCCGCCAUCACAUGUGGCGAGGUGAGCGGCUACUUGAAACCCUGCUUUUCCUACCUUCAAAGGGGCGGCCUUCCCUCGGCGAGCUGCUGCGCCGGCGUGACCAAUCUCAACAGCGCCGCAACUACCACCACCGAUAGGCGCGUCGCGUGCAACUGCGUCAAGAGCUCAAGGAACCGAAGCCAGCCACUCACGCUAGAGCGAUCAGACCGCUAG